rnacentral:rRNA from 1 species
GAUGAACGCUGGCGGCGUGCCUAACACAUGCAAGUCGAACGGGGGCAGAUUGAAACCUAGUGAUAUCUGCCCGAGUGGCGGACGGGUGAGUAACGCGUGGACAACCUGCCGCAUGCAGGGGGAUACCGGCUGGAAACAGCCGCUAAUACCGCAUAUGCGCACGGCGCCGCAUGGCGCCGCGCGGAAAGGGAGCAAUCCCGGCAUGCGAUGGGUCCGCGUCCGAUUAGCUUGUUGGCGGGGCAGCGGCCCACCAAGGCGACGAUCGGUAGCCGGCCUGAGAGGGCGGACGGCCACAUUGGGACUGAGACACGGCCCAG